rnacentral:rRNA from 1 species
GACGGAGGAUGCAAGCGUUAUCCGGAAUCAUUGGGCGUAAAGCGUCCGUAGGUGGCUUUUCAAGUCUGCCGUCAAAGACCGGGGCUUAACCCCAGAAAGGCGGUGGAAACUGAAUAGCUAGAGUGCGGUAGGGGUAGGGGGAAUUCCCGGUGUAGCGGUGAAAUGCGUAGAGAUCGGGAAGAACACCGGUGGCGAAAGCGCUCUACUGGACCGUAACUGACACUCAGGGACGAAAGCUAGGGGAGCGAAUGGG